UGAGCGCCUCCAGUUAUGAGGCACUCACAGCUUCCCUGGGCAAAGGGUCCAAAGAUUUAGGUUGUACUCUAGGAUUUACCUGCACUUGGUUCCCUAUUUCAUGGGACAUUUUUCAGAGUCUUUUGCAAACAAUACAGAAUCUGUGUUCCUGGUCUCUCAAAUGAGUCCAACAUUUCCUUAUCAAAAAAAGGAUUUGGGAAGGGAAGUACUUGGACAACAGCAUGGAGAUCAGGACCUUCAAUAGAGGUUGAGCCCAGAAGAGCACUCAAAGAUGGUGGGCAAAACCCACACUCAUUGAAAAAAACAUGAAUGGCAGUUCUGGGCAACAGCAUAGCAAGGUUUGUCUGUGGGUUCACCUGAGCUGGAAUGGAAUUGUGCGUCUUCCAAGGGGAGGAAACCUUUUAGGCUGAGUCCUGUUUCCCUCCCUAGUUAAUUCUGUGCUACACAGCUUGUGGCUGGACCUGGCCCAGACGCUGGUGUCUCCAAGGACGCUGUUCCUGAAGCCUGCAGCAGAGGCCUGUGUAAUUCUCAUCAAAGGUUACCAAAUAUUUUCAAGAAUAUUGAUCUCAUCUCUCAGUAACAAGAAAGAAGAUACCAAAAUUAAAAUUAAAGCAUUAGAAGCUCACUUUAGCUUCUAAUAUUAGUUGUGUGUGUGUUGCAGGAGACCUAGCAGACAGUUAUGACAGUGAGAACAAUUUGUGGAGCAUCUGGCUUCAAAUUAGGAAGAAAUAUUAGGGGCCUGAGGAACCCCGUUAUUUUUUAGAAGAUUUUUAUGACAUCAAAUGGUUCAUUAGUUUUAAGGAGAAACAGGUGGUUAAUGAGAAGCUCUCAUUAAAUUGGGCUGUGUUUGCACAUUGCAGGAUUCAUGAAGGCCAUCUGACCCAGAGCUCAUGUCCCAGGUUCCCUUUUUGCACAAAUCCCCUAACCCUUCCACUCAGUCUGGAAUAGCAAUGACAGAGUUGGGAGUGGCUCUUUCCUCUCUAUGUGUGUAACAGAAGUAUAUCUUGGGUGAGUAAAAUGUGAAAUUCUGCUGUCUGAUAGACUCACUUUGGCCAGAAACCACGAGUCCCCUUCCAUACGUAGUGGCACAAGCAGACUGUGCAUACAGCUCUCAGCUUGCUGUGAGCACCUUGUUGGAACCUGUGACAGUGAAGCCAUGCCGUAUCUGGCCAAGAUUUCUUUCCAGGACUGAUCCAUGUUCUGGAACGUGGAGUCUCCCAGGCAGCUGGAUAUAGGUGGUCAGGCAGAAUUUAGUUACCCAAGCAACUCACGUGUUAUGAUUCCUAAACAACCAAGAUGUUGGAAGGCUGGGGGCACUCGAGGGAAAUGGCUAUGGAAAAUACAGUUUUCCAGCCAUGCAGACACAUGUGCAAAGAAGGGAAGACUGCCUCUGUCUUUCACUCUGCAGGGGAAAAGAUAAAAGCUAGAGAUCUGUGGGAACACCAUGAAGGUAUAUUCAUAAUCACUCUCUUUGGAGGCUGUUUGCAUUAGAGGAAAGAACAUUCUUAUAAGAAAUAAAGGCAUCAGGAAGUGGGAAGAGUCCUGUCCACCACUUGCAAGCCAACUAAAUGCAAACUGAAAGAGAAAACGUAAAUGAAAAUGAAUUCUGUACAAAAAAGUACCUGUGUGCUUCUGUUUAUGCCUGUAUGAAAGUAUUUUAUAUAGGAAGGGAGAGAGAAAUGGCUGUGGUAAUGGGGAAUGGGUCUCCUCGAGCACGUCCAGGUGUGUGAGCCCCAGGGCUGCCCCACUCCUGUCCCCCAGCCCCAGCUGUCCAAACAGCCCCAAACUGCCUUUCAAUACCAUAAAAGUUAUGAAUAACAGGGUCUUGUUCCCUGCCUGCCAGUGUGUGAUCCUCUGCAGGUCACCUUCUGCAGAUAUCCCCCCAGAUAUUGCUGCUGGAAAUCUGCUGUUCAUAAGAAGCAAAAUGAAAACUGCCCUUCUCCUGGCUGCAGCUGUGCUGAAGGUUCAAACGUGCUGCUCCCAUGGCCCAAUCAGGCCCAGCUGACCCGAGGCCACCACAGCCACCCUUCCAUGAGAGGAGAGACCCCUCCACUGUCCCAGCAGAUAGCAAGUGGGCUUUAAGGCCCUACACAAGCAAAGCCUCACUUUGCACAGGGGUCUCCUGUCUGAGUCAGGUAACACUGCUUCCUGUCCUGUUGCCACACACAGAGGCAGCAAAAUGUCUGCAAAAUGUCAGCAAGAUUGUUCAAGGUGACAUCAAACAUUUUUCCUGACAUUAAAUUUUAGCUCAAACCAUGUUUUUGCCCAGCACUGUUCUCCAUGCAAAGUUCAAGCUGUCAGAAACACACUGUCUGCAUGGUGUGAGGAUGCUGAGCUGCAGACAGUGUGUAGCUCUGAUCCUUCAAAAGUUCCCUCCAGGAUUUCCUGCCUUCCUCCUAGGAGCCAGUGCUUCUAUGGGAAUGACUGUGACACAGUCCUGCCAGCUGUUCACCAUGAGGUCCCACACUGCACACCAGCUUUGUGCCCUCUCCCCAUGGACAGACACAGGGCAUCACCCAUCUGUGUUCCAUGGCUUGGAGCACCAACAGGGAUCACUUCCAUUUGACUUCACUGAGUUUGGGGAGCAGUCCUUCAGAAGGGUGAAGCAUAAAGGGUGUUCAUUGGUACAGUCUGCCCAGAGAAGCUGUGGGUGCCCCAUCCCUGGAGGUG